rnacentral:rRNA from 1 species
GACAAACGCUGGCGGCAUGCCUAACACAUGCAAGUCGAACGGACAGAACAGGGAAGCUUUUCGGAGUGGAACUGGAAAGUUAGUGGCGGAUGGGUGAGUAACGCGUGGACAACCUACCUUGUAAAGGGGAAUAACCUCGAGAAAUCGAAGCUAAUACCCCAUAAUAACCUUGCUUCGCAUGAAGUAAGGAGGAAAGGCGGCCUUAGCGCUGUCGAUACAAGAUGGGUCCGCGUCUGAUUAGCUAGUUGGUGAGGUAAAGGCUCACCAAGGCGACGAUCAGUAGCCGGACUGAGAGGGUGAACGGCCACAUUGGGACUGAGACACGGCCCAAACCCCUACGGGAGGCAGCAGUGGGGAAUCUUCCGCAAUGGGCGAAAGCCUGACGGAGCAAUGCCGCGUGAGUGAAGAAGGCCUUCGGGUUGUAAAACUCUGUCCUUAUCGAAGAGAGAGUGUUGUAGUAACUGACAAUACUAGGACGGUAGAUGAGGAGGAAGCCCCGGCUAACUAUGUG